AUGAUGACGAAGAUAGAGACAUAUAUUUAUGUGAAGCAGUCUCAGAGAGUCGGUGGUUGCUGCAAACCGAUACUGUUUAUAAAUAUAAAUCACUCUUGAGUUAUAUCCUUGAAAGCACCCUUUGAAGUGAGUAAAGGAUAUCGACUAGCCCCGUUAAAGGCUUAGGUUUGUUAGAACUGAAGGAGAGGUAUCUAUUUUUAUAAAUAGAUACAAUUAAGGUGGUACCGCGGAUAAUAUCCGUCCUUAAA
rnacentral:ncRNA from 1 species